rnacentral:rRNA from 1 species
UGGGGAAUAUUGCACAAUGGAGGGAACUCUGAUGCAGCGACGCCGCGUGAGUGAAGAAGUCUUUCGGUAUGUAAAGCUCUAUCAGUAGGGAAGAUAAUGACGGUACCUACAUAAGAAGCCCCGGCUAAAUACGUGCCAGCAGCCGCGGUAAUACGUAUGGGGCAAGCGUUAUCCGGAUUUACUGGGUGUAAAGGGAGCGUAGGCGGCAGUACAAGUCGGGAGUGAAAACUCGGGGCUCAACCCCGAGACUGCUCUCGAAACUGUACAGCUAGAGUGCAGGAAGGGCAGGCGGAAUUCCUGGUGUAGCGGUGAAAUGCGUAGAUAUCAGGAGGAACACCGGUGGCGAAGGCGGCCUGCUGGACUGUAACUGACGCUGAGGCUCGAAAGCGUGGGGAGCGAACAGG